AUUGAACGCUGGCGGCAUGCCUUACACAUGCAAGUCGAACGGCAGCACGGAGCUUGCUCUGGUGGCGAGUGGCGAACGGGUGAGUAAUAUAUCGGAACGUACCCUGGAGUGGGGGAUAACGUAGCGAAAGUUACGCUAAUACCGCAUACGAUCUAUGGAUGAAAGUGGGGGAUCGCAAGACCUCAUGCUCGUGGAGCGGCCGAUAUCUGAUUAGCUAGUUGGUAGGGUAAAAGCCUACCAAGGCAUCGAUCAGUAGCUGGUCUGAGAGGACGACCAGCCACACUGGAACUGAGACACGGUCCAGACUCCUACGGGAGGCAGCAGUGGGGAAUUUUGGACAAUGGGCGAAAGCCUGAUCCAGCAAUGCCGCGUGAGUGAAGAAGGCCUUCGGGUUGUAAAGCUCUUUUGUCAGGGAAGAAACGGUGAGGGCUAAUAUCCCUUGCUAAUGACGGUACCUGAAGAAUAAGCACCGGCUAACUACGUGCCAGCAGCCGCGGUAAUACGUAGGGUGCAAGCGUUAAUCGGAAUUACUGGGCGUAAAGCGUGCGCAGGCGGUUUUGUAAGUCUGAUGUGAAAUCCCCGGGCUCAACCUGGGAAUUGCAUUGGAGACUGCAAGGCUAGAAUCUGGCAGAGGGGGGUAGAAUUCCACGUGUAGCAGUGAAAUGCGUAGAUAUGUGGAGGAACACCGAUGGCGAAGGCAGCCCCCUGGGUCAAGAUUGACGCUCAUGCACGAAAGCGUGGGGAGCAAACAGGAUUAGAUACCCUGGUAGUCCACGCCCUAAACGAUGUCUACUAGUUGUCGGGUCUUAAUUGACUUGGUAACGCAGCUAACGCGUGAAGUAGACCGCCUGGGGAGUACGGUCGCAAGAUUAAAACUCAAAGGAAUUGACGGGGACCCGCACAAGCGGUGGAUGAUGUGGAUUAAUUCGAUGCAACGCGAAAAACCUUACCUACCCUUGACAUGGCUGGAAUCCCCGAGAGAUUGGGGAGUGCUCGAAAGAGAACCAGUACACAGGUGCUGCAUGGCUGUCGUCAGCUCGUGUCGUGAGAUGUUGGGUUAAGUCCCGCAACGAGCGCAACCCUUGUCAUUAGUUGCUACGAAAGGGCACUCUAAUGAGACUGCCGGUGACAAACCGGAGGAAGGUGGGGAUGACGUCAAGUCCUCAUGGCCCUUAUGGGUAGGGCUUCACACGUCAUACAAUGGUACAUACAGAGCGCCGCCAACCCGCGAGGGGGAGCUAAUCGCAGAAAGUGUAUCGUAGUCCGGAUUGUAGUCUGCAACUCGACUGCAUGAAGUUGGAAUCGCUAGUAAUCGCGGAUCAGCAUGUCGCGGUGAAUACGUUCCCGGGUCU
rnacentral:rRNA from 1 species